GACGUAGGGGGCAAGCGUUGUUCGGAAUUAUUGGGCGUAAAGCGCUCGUAGGCGGGACUGGAAGUCCGUGUUGAAAGACCUCGGCUCAACUGAGGGACCGGCUCGGAUACUCUAGUUCUUGAGGCAAUCAGAGGGUGAUGGAAUUCCCGGUGUAGCGGUGAAAUGCGUAGAGAUCGGGAGGAACACCAGAGGCGAAGGCGGCUAGCUGGACAGUAACUGACACUCAACUACGAAAGCGUGGGGAGCAAACAGG
rnacentral:rRNA from 1 species